UUGUUGCUUCACGAGGUUCUGAGAGUGUCCUAGAAUGCCAAAGCCUGUGAUAUCUGUGGCCACAUGGGCAUUAAAUUUGUGCAUUAAUCCAGCAGCAGUUCAGUUAAUGGUAGCCAUACUGACCGUGGCUUCCUGAUAGGCCAGCUCUACUACUUCUCUGAGGAUCACACCUGAUUCCAUCUUUCAGUAUCAUCCAGCUAUUGGUGGGCAUUGACAGCAACUUGGGUUCCUAAGGGUUUGGUUAACACCAGCACAUCCCCAACAGCAGCAUUAUUAGGCAUUAUGAAUGCACUUGGCCUAUAUACCACAGUGGCAACUCCACCGAUGAUAAGCCAAGAGCUGAACACCAUUUGUCCACCUGUCACUGCAGUUCCUCCCUCCUCGGUAGCGUCCCGAAAGCCUUUGAUCAUGAGUGGCAUUAUCUUUUCGUGUUCCUCCUCACUCAUACUCUGGCUAAGGCUGAGUAACGUCAACAUGUUAUCACACUUAGUAAUGCCCAUGGCCUAGAGGUCACUCAGCACGCUGGCACAAGCUAUGCACCCCAUCAUGUAGGGAUCCUCCAACAAGGGGUAAAAGAAGUCCAUGGUCUGCACCAGUGACAGGCCCCCAUGCCUCAGCAAGAUGACGCAAGGGUCUAUCCCAAUGCCCAGGACUGGAAGGGCUGGGCCAGGGUCCGCCCCCUCUGGCAGGGGUGCUUCCUGGGCAGCCUCGGCCCGGCUGGGUGUGGGCCGUGUCAGUCUGGCCAGGAGUUUGGGCAGUGCCUCCUGCGAGACCUUGCAGCCUCAGCCUUUCCUGCCGGAGAAGCCCGUCAGUCGCCAGCCCAGGCUGAGACCCCACAACUGGGGCUGAAAGGGCCAGUAACUCGAGAAGGCCCAGCCCAGAGACAAAGCCGCCGGACCCGAGGAGACUUCCGCCGCCGCCAUGGCCACCGUCACGGGGCUUCCGCCAUCGCGCCUGCUGGAAAGGCCUGAGGAAAGGGGAGAAGAGGAGAGGGCCCUUUUGGUUUCCACUCAAGUUAAUAAGAAGUAACAGUCAAAUAUCUCCCACAGAGAUUCUCCCGGGCACCAUU
rnacentral:lncRNA from 1 species